rnacentral:rRNA from 1 species
CAGCCGCCACGGGAAUACGAAGGGGGCUAGCGUUGUUCGGAUUUACUGGGCGUAAAGGGCGCGUAGGCGGGCGAAUAAGUCAGGGGUGAAAUCCCAAGGCUCAACCUUGGAACUGCCUUUGAUACUGUUUGUCUUGAGUUCGAGAGAGGUAAGUGGAACUGCGAGUGUAGAGGUGAAAUUCGUAGAUAUUCGCAAGAACACCAGUGGCGAAGGCGGCUCACUGGCCCGGAACUGACGCUGAGACACGACAGCGUGGGGAGCAAACAGGAUUAGAUACCCCAGUAGUCCCUGUCUCUUAUAC